UACGAAGGGGGCUAGCGUUGCUCGGAAUCACUGGGCGUAAAGCGCACGUAGGCGGUUUCUUAAGUCAGGGGUGAAAUCCUGGAGCUCAACUCCAGAACUGCCUUCGAUACUGAAGAGCUUGAGUCCGGGAGAGGUGAGUGGAACUGCGAGUGUAGAGGUGAAAUUCGUAGAUAUUCGCAAGAACACCAGUGGCGAAGGCGGCUCACUGGCCCGGUACUGACGCUGAGGUGCGAAAGCGUGGGGAGCAAACAGG
rnacentral:rRNA from 1 species